ACCCUUUCAUGGUCAGUUUCAGUCUGGUUUUUGAAAAUUCUCUAAAGGAUUAUUUCAGCUUCCCUUUUUCAACUGUUCAGUUGCCAUGCCUGCUGAUACCAGGUAGAGCUCAGAAUAUCCAGGCUCCUAAUUCCAGAACAGGGUCUUGCUCGUCGCCCAGGCUGGAGUGCUGUUGCAUGAUCACGGCUCACUGCAACCUCUGCCUCUUGGGUCCAAGCAAUUCUUGUGCUUCAGCCACCAUACCAUCACAUUACAGGGCUGAUGGUUUAAAAGUGUGUGGCAGUUCCACCCCCAACUCCUGCCGUCAUGUGAGACAUACCUGGCUUCCUCUUCCCCUUCUGGUAUGAUGGCUUGAAACAAAGUGUGUAAAUUUUCCAUGGUCUGGUGGCAAAUUUACUAUCAGCUCUGCGGGAAGUGAUUUUCAAAUAUUCAUUAGAAUAAACAAAGUAACAAAAUUUCUAAGUAAGCUAAGAAACCUAAUAAAAUAUGUAUUAUGGC
rnacentral:lncRNA from 1 species